rnacentral:rRNA from 1 species
CCUGAGUACGACGGAGCACGUGAAAUUCCGUCGGAAUCUGGGAGGACCAUCUCCUAAGGCUAAAUACUCUCUAGUGACCGAUAGUGAACCAGUACCGUGAGGGAAAGGUGAAAAGUACCCCGGAAGGGGAGUGAAAGAGAACUUGAAACCGUGUGCUUACAAGUAGUCAGAGCCCGUUAAUGGGUGAUGGCGUGCCUUUUGUAGAAUGAACCGGCGAGUUACGAUCUGAUGCAAGGUUAAGCAGAAAAUGUGGAGCCGUAGCGAAAGCGAGUCUGAAUAGGGCGAAUGAGUAUUUGGUCGUAGACCCGAAACCAGGUGAUCUACCCUUGGUCAGGUUGAAGUUCAGGUAACACUGAAUGGAGGACCGAACCGACUUACGUUGAAAAGUGAGCGGAUGAACUGAGGGUAGCGGAGAAAUUCCAAUCGAACUUGGAGAUAGCUGGUUCUCUCCGAAAUAGCUUUAGGGCUAGCCUCAAGUGAUGAUUAUUGGAGGUAGAGCACUGUUUGGACGAGGGGCCCCUCUCGGGUUACCGAAUUCAGACAAACUCCGAAUGCCAAAUAAUUUAACUUGGGAGUCAGAAUGUGGGUGAUAAGGUCCAUAUUCGAAAGGGAAACAGCCCAGACCACCAGCUAAGGUCCCAAAAUAUAUGUUAAGUGGAAAAGGAUGUGGCGUUGCCCAGACAACUAGGAUGUUGGCUUAGAAGCAGCCAUCAUUUAAAGAGUGCGUAAUAGCUCACUAGUCGAGUGACACUGCGCCGAAAAUGUACCGGGGCUAAACAUAUUACCGAAGCUGUGGAUUGUCCUUUGGACAAUGGUAGGAGAGCGUUCUAAGGGCGUUGAAGCAUGAUCGCAAGGACAUGUGGAGCGCUUAGAAGUGAGAAUGCCGGUGUGAGUAGCGAAAGACGGGUGAGAAUCCCGUCCACCGAUUGACUAAGGUUUCCAGAGGAAGGCUCGUCCGCUCUGGGUUAGUCGGGUCCUAAGCUGAGGCCGACAGGCGUAGGCGAUGGAUAACAGGUUGAUAUUCCUGUACCACCAUUAUUCGUUUUAAGCGAUGGGGGGACGCAGUAGGAUAGGCGAAGCGUGCUGUUGGAGUGCACGUCCAAGCAGUGAGAUUGAGUGUUAGGCAAAUCCGGCACUCUUAAGAUUGAG